rnacentral:rRNA from 1 species
ACCUGAUAGUUUGGCUUUCGAUUUCGGUCGAUAAGCUUUAUCUGCUUAAAUAGACAAAUUGCUUUCAGCAAUAUGAAAUUGAGCAAUAACAGGUCCGUGAUGCCCUUAGAUGUUCUGGGCGGCACGCGAGUUACAAUGAAGCUGACAACGUGUUACCUUAUCCGAGAGGAUUGGGAAAUCACUUAGCCAGCUUCCUAGUUGGG